AGGUGGGGACACAGGCUAUAUGGAGGCCAUCAUGGUCAAGUGCCUACGUUCCUUCAAGGAGGGACCACAAACCCUUGCCGGGUGACGGCUCAUGAUGGGGAGGGGAGGAUGCCGAUAGACUGACUAUCAGCUUACGUCAGCCUAGCUGACCAAGUCGGUCUUUCGACGAGGACUUGCGUAUCUCUUUGUACAAGUCAAAGACAAUGCCUGCUUCAACAAUGUCUCUGUUUAGUCCAUUCCAUGUAUCCACACUCCUGUAUGGAAAACUGUACUUUUUUUUUUUUUUUUUUUUUUUUUUUUUGUGUGUGUGUGUGUGUGUGGGGAUGUGUACACAGCUAUUAUUUUACCCUUGUCUUUACCCAGGUCUUCAAGAGGAGCACCCAGCCUCCUGUGCUUCAUCCUGGAGUUGUAUGCUUUUCUGAGCCCCAAAUUCUCUAGAUCAGCAGCAGCACCUUGUUAUCUGCACUCCACACAAAGGGAUGGACAAAUAAAAGUGAGGAUGGUUAAGAAGUUGGGAAUACGUAAAUUUUCAGUGACAGCAGUAGAGAAAUUGACAUUUAAAAAUGUUUGGUGCUUGCACUUGGUAUGCUUAUACAUGUGUUUUAAGGCCCAUGUUUCCUUUUACAGGUGAAAUAGUCCGUCAAGCCUGUGGCUGAUUUGUACCAUGAUUGAUUUUUUUAACAACUUACUGGUAUGUUAAUUGAGUGAUGAGAAGUUUUGGCUGCAGGUCCCCACAGCAAAGGCUUGUGUUGUACUCACCAGGCCAGCCACCCUCACUAGAGUCGAUUUCAUUCCAUCUGUCCACUUAUGAUCGUAGAUGUGGUACAUGCACAUUACUAGCUCGUGAUUGGGUGAAAAUCGGGUUCUAUAUUGUUGGCUACUUGUGCUAAAUAUUCAAACUCUUUCUUCAGUAAUAUAUAUGAAUGUUUAUAUAUGCAAAGAAUCCUCAAAUAUUCUUACAUAAAUCCCAAACAUACUGAUUUGUAUUGAUAAAAUACCAUAUAAACAAAUGAAAGCCAGAUCAUACAUGAAAGAACAAUAGGCAUCAAAAAAUAUCUAUGCUUCAUCUCAUUUCAGGCACAUAAAAAGACAUCUGGCUACAAAUAAAAGGUAUUCUAAUGACCUAUUGCGUGUGAAUCUAGGCUACAUGGGUAAUAUUUGAAAUAUGAAAUAUUGUUGAAUGUGAUGCUAGGCUAUUUGGAAUAUUACCUGUGUGAUUUACAUGCAUUAACCCUCACACACCAGUAAGUUUCAUAAGUUUUCUUUCCAAUACCUCAUUUGUUGAGAAGCAUUUGUGGCGUAUCCGUGCGCCUUGCAUAAACCUGCUUAGUAUCCAGUUUACAUCCCAUACAAACUCAUAAGUAGGCACAUAUUACAUACCACUAGACUUGCAAGAAAUUUAUCUGUAAAGUGAUUACAUAAAACUCCAUUAUAUAGAUAAUUUAAGGCAUUUUAUCCUUCAAAAAUAAACAUAAACCAAGAACAAAUAAUGUUCCCAACAUCAUAGCUCAAAACUUUUCUCAUGAACAUUUUAUGUGCUACACUCCAUUUGACCAUCGUUUUACAAGCUUUCCAAUGGUGGUAUUAUCAUUCCAAAAUGUAAAUUAUAUCCCCAAAAAGUAAUGGAAAACUGAAAUCAGCACGCUAUCUCCGAUGAUGGAGUUACCCCUCAGCAACACGAGUUAUCCUACGUACGGGAAACUCUCCACAGAAAAUGGAGACAGUCGGAGAGAGUGAGUGAACACCCUGCCUGACGCGCAAAUACCGACUCAUUUACCACUUGCCCUGCCUAUCUAUGGAAGGGACAAAGUUGCCAAUUCCUUACUUUCAUAAAACUUUUGCUCAUCUUUGAUGCACCAAAAAUUGAUGCACUUCCACCAAAAAAGUUAUUUUCCAUAAAUUUAAAUAAGUUUUUUGACGCACAUGUACGUCAAGUCGUCUUUUGCAUGAAGAUAUUUUGACGCACAUGUGCGUCAAGUGCGCAAGAGUGUUAGAUUAUUAAAAUAGCUUUUAUUUGCACUUGCAGAGCUAGAUGUCUUUACAUGUGCCUGAAAUGAGAUAAGCAUAGAUAGUUUUAAAGCCUGUUGUUUGUUUGCAUAUGAUAUGACUAAACUGUUUGAUACAAACUUGUCUUUCAUGUGUUUGUAUAGUAUAAUAUCAGUACAAAUCAGCAUGUUUAGAAUUUAUAUAAGGUGUGGGGGCACUUUGUAUGCAUAAACAUUCCAAUAUAUUAGUAAAGAAAUAUUUUGAAUAUUCAUGAAUAUUGAAUAUUUUUAAUAUUUGAAUAUUUACCAGUGAUAUAGAGUACAUUGAUAUCCACCCAAUCACAAGCUAGCAAUACACAUGCGCCACAUCUAUUAAAAUCCACAUAUGUGAAUGGACGAGUGUAAUGAAACCAAGUACAGUAGGGAGGUAUAAGAGGAACCAUUGAUCAGCAGGGGAGUGGUGCCAGUAACUAACAAAGUCUGGCAGGAAGUAAAAUGUGCACUCAGCCAGUACGCAAAUUGUAAAAGGGUACAAGUCAGAUGAGAGCUGACAGGGACUGAUAAAAUGUAGCAAGGAAUUAAAAAAAAUUACAACAGUUCUGGGGAAACCUAAGUUCAAAAAACCUUGAACCUUUUCUGUAUAGAGGGUGAAAACUGUGGGGUGUCCAGAGAAGAGUGGUGACUGGAUACCCUUGGCAUUUAUCAGUGAAGACUUCUAUAAAGUCUGCAUUUCAUAUCCUGAAUUUGGUUUCACAUGAAGAGAGAAGUUUAGAAAAAAUAUUUGCAGUUUCUCACGGUAGCCCUGUGGUAGUUCAUUUAUUAUUGUUAUUUAUUGGAACCUAUUAGAAAAAUCUUAGAGCAGAUUUGUCUGUUACUAAGCAUUUUAAAUUGGUUAUGUGUGUGUGUGUGUGUGUGUGUAAAAUAAUAAUCAUGGAAAAUAGUAAUAAUAUUUUUUCAAAUCUCAUCAGUCAUUAGGCUGAAAAUUUACAGACUACAAUUUACAGAAGAAUAAAAACAACAAGUACAAAAUGAAGGGGUUUGGGGUUUGGUGUGAUAGUGUGGAUGAUGGGGUAUGAGGUGGAAGUCAGGUGGAGUGCAUUGUGGUGGCAUCAAUACUGGACAGUAUCUCUCGACUGUCAACCAAGGUCAUUGCCAGGUGAUCGCCAGGUCAGCCCAUUGGUCAUGUGAUAGCUGAUGGCAGACUGCAGGUGGAGCAGUGUCAAAAAGUCACUCAGGUUACUUGCUGAAUAGUAAAGUACAAUGUCAGUUCCAGCAAAAUAAGUGGAGCAGGGUUCACUGCUUUGCUGAGAGAUGGUGCUUGACAUUGGAGGGGCUUUUGUACAGCCUUGGUGAAUGGUUGCAGGCUUGUUUGGCUAAUUGGUGAGGACUCCAACAAUGCAUUGUCAUUGGACAGACUGCCAGCAUCAGAAUAGGCAGUUUGGCCUAUCCUGGGAACUUUGGCAUAUAGACAGAGUGGGUAGAUGGAUAGAUGGGCACACAGUCAUUGCUGCCUUUCUUUGGCACCAUGGAUACACUGCACUUUUUUUUAUCACAGUAUUGUCAUUGCAUGACACACACAAAAAAAUUGUGUUGGUAUUCUAGAAUGAUGGAGGGAGGGUGGGUGUGGAGAGAUGAAGUGAGUUGGUCAACAGGUUGACCAUGGCUGCUUUGGAGUGCCAGGGACCAUGCCUUCACCCUGUAAGGUGAAGACAGAAAGUGUGUGUAUGCACUUGUGAUAUACAGAAUAUGAACUACACCCAUGGGGUCCUGUCUCUGUCUCAGUCAGUCAAAUUUUGCUUUAAAUUCAUGUAAGCUUUUAGGCUGGAUUAUUUCCCUGCCUAGGACAUUCCAAAGAUCAGUGCAUCCAUGUGAAAAACUUUGUUUGAUAUUUUUCAAGCACCUUGUCUUCUUCAGUUUCUUUCCAUGUUCUCUUUUUCACUUUUAUCCCUUACAAACAGAUCUUUUCUAUCAAUUCUGUCUACUCCCAUCAUUCUCCUGAAUACUGUAAUCAUGUCACCUCUUUCUUCCAAAGACAGGCUACAACUUUUUCAGUCUUUUUUGUACAAUAAAUCCACCAGCCUGGGGAUUGUCUUGCUUGUUGCACUUUGUAUUCUCUCAGUCUUAGUCAUGUCCUUUUUAUUGUGUGGGAACCAUACCACUUCUACAUAUUCCAGUUUGGGCCAGAUCAGGACUUUAUUAAUUUCUUUAUCCCAUCUAUGUAGUAAAAUAUCAUUUGCAGUUGUUGAUCUAAAAUCUUAUUGAUGUGGUUUCUGGAUGACAAACUUAUCCUAGACCAAUAUUCCCAAACCUCUUUCCUCUUGCUCUUUCGUGAUCUGUUCUUUUCUCAUUGAAUAACUUUGUGACAGCUUCUUUGUACUUUUACCCAUUUCCAAUAUUUUUUGUUGUUAUGCAUUGAAUUUAAUUUCUCAUUUGACUUACACAUCUUGUCCUAAGUCCCCUUGUUGUAUUUUACAAUCCUCCUCAUCUGUUACUUUUCUUAAGAUCUUGUUAGGGUGUGUGAAUUAGUGCAUGUGUGUACAAAUACAUGCAUACAUGUGUUUGAGCGUGCAAGUGUCCAUCCGUGCAUGUGUGUGUGUGUGUGUGUGUGUGUGUGUGUGGAUGUAAAUGAAUAUAGGUGUAGGUAUGUGAAAGAGAUAAGAGAGAGGAUGCCUGCACCAUGACGGGCUUGAGCCGACCACCAGGCCCCUGAAGAAAGCAUACCGUUGCUAUAGGCUGACAUGUAAAAAAAAAAAAAUAAAAAAAAAAUAAAAAAAAAAAGGCUGACAAGGACUUGGGCUUCAAGACAAGACUAAGUAAGCUUAGUAAAGGACUGAAAUUUUUGUCUUUUAUACAGGAGAUAUCAAAGGCUGUUAACUAAAAAGAAGCUACAAAAAGGUUCCUCAUAUAAAGGAACUGAAGAUGACAAAAUUAUCCGAGUUAGUUCCGGAUGUAUCUGGAUACUUUUCUCAUCUAAGAGGUUGUUAUAAAAAUGAGUAAUCAGAAAAGUACAUCCUCAGGUCGUCCCACCGAGCUGAAGCAAAAUGCCAGAAGCAUCGCCUCUUCGGUGGGUCCAGAGAAUGUACAGGAGCAAUAGGACAGGAUACAGAAACAAGGUUUUGAUCGGAGGAGCCCAACAGAGAGAAUAGUUUGACAGAAUAAACAGAAAGGUUAGAGGUAAGGAAGAGGUCUAGUAUGUUGGGUGUCUCUCCGAGACAGGCAGAAAUACGUGUAGGGUGCUGAACCAGCUGGUCUAGAUCAUUGAGGAUAGCAAAGUUGUAGGCUUCACCAGGCUGGUCAGUGAAAGAGGAUGAAAGCCAAAGCUGGUGGAGAACAUUGAAAUCUCCUAGGAUGGAGAUUUCAGCAAAGGGAGGGUGGGUCAAGAUGUGCUCACUUUAGAGUUCAAGUAGUUAAAGAAUUUAACCGAAUUUAACAGUUAGUAGAGUUAGGUGAGAGAUAGACAGCACAGAUGUAUUUAGUAAUAGAAUGACAAUGAAGUCUUAGCCAGAUGGUGGAAAAUUCUGAAGAGUCAAGGUCGUGGGCACGAGAGCAAGUGAUGUCUUUGUGUACGUAGAUGCAACAUCCAGCUUUGGAUUGAAAUUUAGGAUAGAGAUAGUAAGAGGGAACAGAACAGAGAUUGCUGUUAGUAGCCUCAGAAACCUGUGUUUCGGUGAGGAAGAGAAGGUGAGGUUUAGAGGAGGAGAGAUGGUGCUCCACAGAAUGAAAAUUAGAACGAAGACCGUGAAUGUUGCAAAAAUUGAUAAGAAAGAGGUUCGAGGAGUUAUUAAGACACCUCUCAAGUCGGCAGCCAGAAGGGGAGUCCUCCCUUGGGGAAGGAUUAAUAAUAACAUACAGCAGGGCCCCCGCGACUAGCGUUUUUCUGACCAGUGAUUUCAAGUUUAAUGAUAGUAUAGAAAUAGUCUUGAGUUCCAUAACUAAUGAUCAAAGUUGUGGAACUAGCAAAAAUAUUCCCAUUGGCUGAGAAGAAAGAGUGGGCAAGUUGUGUCAAGAAGGCCUGAGGAGACAUUGUGCAGGGAGUUGUGUGAAAGGGUGUGCACCUGCUGCUUGUGUUUAGUUGACCCAUUGGUCAUGCAGUGUUGUGCAACAUUACACAAUAGAGCUGAGAAGUCUUGCCAAGAUGGGGCCGAAUAUCCCACCAAAAUGGGCGGAGGCUGGUUCAGUGAUUGUAAACAAAAUACUGAAAACAGAUGUCUUAGUUGUAGGUGUGGCCAGUGUCACCUCUUCUCCAUCUUCUUAUUUUCUACAAAUGUUUCAUUCAUCUGACUGCUGUUUCUGGUAAAGGGAUGCCUAUAAGGGCUGCUGAGGGAAUAUUGUGAGGAAGCUGCUGUGUGGGACACCAUAUAUGUUAGGAUCAGCUGAUCUACUGUUCCAGUUGGUUCAUCCCCUCACCAUGGGUCAACUGAAAGCAGGUGUGUGAUAUUGCUCCUGUUGCCCUGCUCAGCCCUGUUAACCCAUGGACUUUACUGAGUUUACUGAUAGGCUGCUGUGCAUCUGGCUGUGCAGGAGGGCCGGGUUCGUGGUUAUGAUGGGACAAGCUCCCAGUAAGCUGACACAUCCCAAGUCCUAACUUCUUUAUUCAUCAGAGAGCACAUUCCAAGCAUUUAAUGGCAAGUUUUUGUUGCCUUUGCCUAUUAGUAGUUUAGUUUAUAUAUAAAUUAAGUUUAGUUGUUAAAAGUAGGUGAAACAGAGAUAACAGUAAACUUCUGAAAUGCUCCUGCAUGUUUGUAUUUUUUACUGUUUGAAGUUUGCCCACAAACUAAUGGUUUCAGAACCAGUGACGUUUUAUCAGUCUCUUCUUAUCGCUAGGCACGGGGCCCCACUGUAAUUAAUAAAAGGAAAGAGGCUUGGCCUGAGAAGAAAGAUUGAUAUAUACAUAGGAGGAAAUGAUUGAUAAGUAUGUAUUUAUAAAAAAGAAUUAUAUCUAUCAUUAAAGUAUGUACUCAAAGAAAAGAUUGAUAACUGAUGUUUUAAAAUAAUAACAAAAAUAUUAAAUAAAUAAUACAGUAAACUCACACACACACACGCACACAACAUGAAUGACUGAAACUGAAUUGGCUUAUUACUUUGCUGUAUGGUAAAAAGUUCUUGAUUCAAGAAAUAAUUAGCACUUGUUAACAGAAGUAAUUUUGUUUACACACACGUGUAGACCUAAUAUAUGUAUAAGAAACAGACCCUUGGGCAACCUGUUUGAGCCCCCUCCUGCCACCUGUGCCAAGGUCAUGAAUAGUCAGUUUGAUGAUAGUGGUAGCUGCUGUAUUCCUAAGGUAGUAGUAUGUACAAGGCAUUAUUACUACACAGGUGCAGACAGCAAAGUUACCCUCAGAUACUUGAAUGAGCCAAGGUUGUAAUGAUUCAUUUGCUAAAUAUCAGUGUUUCAAUUUGUCAUGAUGUAUCCUGUUUGUACUUAGCUCAUACUGCACUGAUAAUUCAACAUUAUCCUGUCAUAAACUCAUGUGAUGUGCUGGUGAAGGGAAUAUUUUUGACAAUUUCUCAUGGUGAAAAGAAUACCCUUGGCAUGAUGAACUUCAGACAUUGGAACAUCCUCACACAUCACAGCUUGUAUUUAUCAUCUUGAAAAUCAUCAUUCCUGUCAAGAUACUUUUCUCAUAUUUGCUGUGUUUGUCCAGCUUUAGGCAGGGGCAGCAGGAUUGGGUUGAGAGGCUGUGGAAUCAUCCAGUCCACUGUUGAACCCGCCAAUCCUCCGUCCCGGUUGUCUGUCUGUCUGUAGCCCUAUUGACUGGUCCACAGACUCAUCCCAGCAGCCAAUCAAAUGUCAGCUUUAUUUGUGCAGGGUAAAGGGACAUAGAAUCAGCCACUAAGUUCAGGACAAGUUACUCUGCUUACAAGUAGGUCCCAAAAUAGUGAACUUACAAGCAGUUAUAAUUUAUUCUUGUACUGGUGUUGUUUGGAUGUGUAAUGUUAAUUGACUAUACAAUGCAAAACCUUUUGAAAAGUUGUCACAUUACCAACCUGCUGCAUUGCUGUGCCAUUUUUGCUUUUCUUUUGGAGUAGUGAUAGUGUGACAGUAACAGCACUGAAGGUACAAGGUGGCACAGCUACAUCCAGGUAAUGAGUGAAGUAGGUAGCAGAAAUGUCUUAAGUUAUUUCAGGGCUUCCCAACACUCACCAUGACUCAAUAGUAAUGUGGUACUUCAUGUGUCAACACUCCUUGAUAUUGUAGUUUCAUACUGUGAUGACUCCCCCCCUUUCCUGCUCCCUCCCUUCCCUUAAACUUCACUACUGUGCAUGCUGUUUGGUGUAAGGGGAAACAUUGCAACUCUCUCUCUCUCAUAUAUAUAUAUAUAUAUAUAUAUAUAUAUAUAUAUAUAUAUAUAUAUAUAUAUAUAUAUAUAUAUAUAUAUAUAUAUAUAUAUAUAUAAUCCAGAGUGACAGGAAGUGGGGAAGAAAAGUACAAGAUGUGGUGGAGGGGGGAGAGUCAGAGGGGUGGGGAUGAUGAUGAGAGAGGAGCUAAUAGAGGAUGCAAUAGAAGUGAGGAGGAUAACAUCCAGGAUAAUGCUAAUAAGGCUGGUAAUAGGAGAGAAACUAUUCAAUGUUUUCUCUGUGUGUGCCCCUCAGGUGGGGAGGACAGACAAGGAGAAAGAGGAGUUUUGGGGAGUGCUGGAUGACGAGAUGGCAGGUCUAAGAAAUGAGGUGUUCAUUGGAGGAGAUUUGAAUGGUCUUACAGGGCAAAGUAGAGAUGGAUUUGAGGAAGUAAUGGGUGUGUAUGGUCAUGGAGAGAGAAACAGAGAAAGGGAGAAAAUGUUGGAGUUUUGUCAGGGCAGGGGACUGGUUGUGGCAAACACCAUGUUCAAGAAAGAAAGAGAAAAGGUGGUAACAUAUAAAAGUGAAAGAGUGGAAACGCAAGUAGACUAUAUAGUGUACAGAAAGGAUGAAGAUUUUUGUAUAAAGGACGUGAAGGUGACCCUGGGGGAAGCGUGCCUGCCACAACAUAGCCUUCUGUGUGCUGAUACAGUCACGAAGGUAGGGAAGAAAAAGAUAAAAAAGAAAGAAAAAAAAAAGUGUGGAAGGUGAAGGAGAAGGAAAUCAGAAGAGUUUGAACAAAGAGUGAAAAGGGAAAAUGAGGAAAAUAAUGGAGGAUGGGAACAAUUGAAAGAAAAUAUCAUGAAAACAGGGAGAGCAGUGUGUGGUGAAACAAAAGGAAUUAGAAGAAAGGAAAGAGAGACAUGGUGGUGGAAUGGAAUAGUGCAGCAGGCCAUCAGGGAAAAGAAGGAGGCAUACAAGAAAUGACAGAAGACAAAGAAGGAGGAAGAUAGAGAGAAAAAGGCAAGAAAAGAGGUCUCAAAGGCAAAGAAGAAAGCAACGGAAGAGUGUGUGAGAGAGAGAGAGAGAGAGAGAAGGGAGAAAUUUAAAAAAAAAAAUGAAAUUUUUAAAACUGCAAAACAAAUGAAAAGAGAGAGAGAGAGCAGAUGUAGUUGGAGCAAAGUUUGUAAAAGAUGAAGGAGGGAACAUCAUGGUGGAAAAAGAAAAGAUAUUGGAAAGAUGGAGUAAAUAUUUCAGUGAACUGUUAAAUGAGGAAAAUGUAUAUAUGACAAAUGAAACUGAAAAAGUAGAAGACCCACAAGAAAAAAUUACGUAAGAGGAAGUAAAAGAAACACUAAAGGAAAUGAAAAAUGGUAGGGCAGCAGGACCUUCAGGGCUAACAGUAGAUUUAAUAAAAGCAGCAGGAAAGGAAGGAGUGGUGGAAUUGACAGGAGUGUUUAACGAUGUAUUAAGAAAAGGGAGAGAUACCAGAAGACUGGAAAGGAAGCCACACUAUACCCAUUUUUAAAGGGAAAGUAGAUGCUUCGAAAUGUGGUAACUAUAGGGGGAUAAGGUUACCGGAGCAUGGCAUGAAGGUAUAUGAAAAAGUCCUGGAGAAGAGGCUGAGAAGGAUAAUAAGAAUUGAUAAAUGUCAGUUUGCCCUGGGAGAUCAACAACUGGGGCAAUAUACACUGAGAGGGCUUCAGGAAAGGUUUAUAGAGAAGAGGAGGAGAUUGUAUCAUGUUUUUGUAGAUCUAGAGAAGGCAUUUGACAGAGUACCAGGGGAAAUUAUAAGAUGGGCAUUGAGAAGGCAAAGAGUACCGGAAAGAUUGGUCGAAUCGGUGAUGGGACUGUAUGAAGAUACAAAAUUGAGAAUGAAAACAGUGGUGGGAACAUCAGAUGAGUUCAAAAUUGGAGUGGGGGUUCACCAGGGAUCUGCCCUUAGCCCUCUCUUGUUUAUAACAGUAAUGGAGGAGGCAACAAAGGAAGCAAGAGGAGAGGCACCAUGGGAGCUGCUGUAUGCAGAUGACUUGGUAGUAAAUGCAGAGACAGCAGAAGUGAACGAAAAGUUUAAUGAAUGAAGGAGAGAGGUUUGAAAAUUAAUAUGGAAAAAACAAAGUACAUAGUGACUGGAAAAGAAGCAAGAGAAAAGAUUAAACCAGGAAAAUAUCCAUGUGGAUGCUGUGGGAAGGGAGUAGGUGUAAAUUCAGUCUUGUGCACAUGUUGCAGGCAGUGGUGCCACCUUAGAUGCUCAGGCCUCAGAAAUGAAAGAGGAGUGCAGAAUUUUACAUGCCCAGGUUGUGUAAGGAGACAGCAAGGACAAGAAACUGAGAGGGAUGAACUAGAGGUAAAUGGAGGAAAGCUGGAUGAGGUAGAACAUUUCUGUUAUUUGGGAGAUGUUCUGAACUGUGAGGCGAGAGUGGAGAGGACAGGGAGAGCAAGAGUGGAAGCAGUGUGGUUAAAGUGGAGGGAGGUGGCUAGUUUACCUGUGAAUCAUAGCAUCCCUCUAAAGAGCAGAGCAGGGAUGUCCCAAGCAUGUAUUAGAUCAGUGAUGUUGCAUGGAGCAGAAACAUGGCCUCUAACUAGAAAAUUGAUGGAGGUAUUGAGAGCAAGUGAUCACAGAAUGCUGAGGUAUAUGGCGGGGAUCACAUGGGAAGACAGAAUGUCCAGUGCAGAUGUAGUUAACAAAUGAGGAGUAGAGGACCUGGAAACAGUGCUCAAAAGGGAAAGACUCUGAUGGUUUGGAGAGUUUUGGAGAGAUUGGAGGUAGAAUGAAGGAGACCAGUUGGUAGACCCAAGAAAAUGUGGAGAAGGUGUAUACAGGAGGACUUGGCGUUGAUGGGAUUGGAUGAGCAUCGGGCAGAAGACAGAGUAGAAUGGAGGAGAGCCAUAAAGCGUCCAACCGCUCAGGAAGAGUGAAAACGGAUGUUAAACAAAAUGAUGAUGAUGAUGAUGAUAUAAUCCUCUAUCUGGAAACGUCCAAAAUCUGGAGGUUCUUUAGUGCAGACACGACAUGCUACAAAUGAAAAAUUCCUGAAUUUCAGUAAGUUGGCAUCAGUCUUUUGUUAGCAGUGAGGUUAACUCUUGCUUUUAUAGAUCUCAGUUUAACAAAUUUCAGCUUUAACAAACUUUUUGGGCCAGUCUGGCAUACAUGGGGAUUUACCAAGUUCGGUGGUAGUCCAGCCAAACGCUCACAUGCAUGUCGGUCAGUGUUGUUGGAAAUUAAACCAACUGGGCGGUGCUCAUCUAGUCAGUCUAGCAUUGUACACCUGACUGUAAACUCCUUCACUCUUGUCCUUUUGUGCCUCACCUUUCAUCUACCAUAACGAACAAAGUUUGUUAAAUGCAAAAAUUUCGGAUCCCUUGGAUAUUCACGGAUUUUCAUAUAUAAUGUCAUCCCUUUCCCCCCAAUUGUUUGUUAAAGCAAGGGUUUGCUGUAGUCAUAGCAGCACCAUCAUCAUUACUAUGUGUUUUGUGAUCUGCAAUGUACACAUGUUCAAAAUGGCACAAAGGCCUGGAGAUAUUUUUAUAGGUAGUAGUGAAGUGAAAGUGUAAGCAUUUAUGAUUAUCUAUAUCACAGAAAGUUAAGUUGUUGGAAAACCUUGACAAUGGUGUGUGUGAAUUAUACAUUAUCUUUCUGAGGAAUUUCGCAUUGGAAUAGCCACUGUCUACUCUGCAGGGGUGGGCAAUCUUUUCGAAGGGAGGACCUGGGUUCAAAUCCCACCCACUGCUAUAAACUGACAAUUUUUAGUCAUUGCCAAGUGGCCUAAGGCUACCCACAUGCUGUCCUGAAGACCACCUAUCAACCUGGACUAUAGAUAAAUUCUUUAAAGAGGAUCAAAGAUGAGCUUGAGGGCAGCAUGAGCCAAGCAGGAUGGCGCCACUAUAAAACACUUGUCUGCAUUAUUACGGUCUGGGACUGACUAGCAGGCCCCAUUAAGAAAGUCUACCAGCACUAUAGGCCAGAUGUAGAAAAGAAAGUUAGUUGCCAACUCCUUUGUAACACUUCCUGCAGAAUUUGCCCAUAAAAGUAGCCCCAAGCCACCCAAACAGCAUGGGAAAACACCUGCCCUGUGUUCAGAUGACUUAAACAUUGCAACAUUGUGCAAUGUUAACACAACAGAGCUAACAAAUUGUGCCAAGAUGGUGAUGUCAGCCCCAUGCCCCACUGAGUUGUUGCUGAGGGGUAUUGUGCAGGUGGUGGGGGAGGGGGGUAGUGUUUGUAAAUAAAGGAGACAUCGUAGUUGUAUGUGUGGCCACUGUCACUUCUGCAUCUCCUUACCUUUUGUGAAUGUUUCAUUCAACUAUGAUUGCUGUUUCCAGUAAAAGGUCACCUUAUGAUAAGAGAUGCUGCAGGAAUAUCGUGAGGGAGCUGUUGUGUAGGAUGCCAUUUUUGUUGCUCUGUCCAAUUUGGCUCACCUCCACCACCUGCGGGGAGUUGUGCGGCUGAUGGGUCCACUGAACACAGCUCUGGAAUCUGGAGGUCACUUUGAGGACUAAACUCCUGCUGCAAAUUUUUAUUUAGAUCUCAUCACUAUUUUAAAGAAAUUGUGUAAUUGAAAAAAAAAAAAACUAACUUUUUAACAUCAUGAUAAACCUAAUCCCUGUUUUUUAUUCUCAUGUAAAGUGAACGGUACCGGUAAUGUGAAGGAUGCCAUAAUGCAGCUGCCAGCACAUGGAAUAAUGUAACUAAAGAUACCAUGACACAUGCCUGGGACAACCUCUGGCUUGUGACAAUGUUAAGUGAUGCCAGUGGACAAAGCGAUGAGUUUGAAGGAUUCUUCAUGUCGUGAGAAAAAAGUUAUCAGACCUUAUCCAAAAGUAUGUAUUCAGAGUGGGAAGGAAAUGGGUAUUGAAGAAGUCCUUAAUAUUAGUAAUAAUGCUUGAGUUGUUUAUUCAAUGACUGAUGGUAAAACAGCUGCAGUGGUUUGUAAUCAAGGUGACCAUGAGGACAAUGGUACCAAAACAACAGGGUGAAAAUAUGUGAUGGACUCAUUGAAGGACUAGAGCAGUUUGCAUUCAUAACAAUAAAAAAUCAUGCCAAUGUACAAAAUCAAAGAGAAAUUUCUGCAACAAAAGCCCUUGUUCAUUAAGGCAUAUAACAUUGGAAGUAAAAGAAAAAAAUAAUAAAUAAAUAAAUAGAUAAAAUAAAUAAAUAAAAAAUCCAGCAAAGUACUUCCUCAUCCCUAGAUCAUUGGCUUCCAUGUCCCUCAACUCCUUUUGUACACCCUCAAAGUGAUAUCAUCAGUUAUGUUACCUCUCCUGGAAGUUCCUAAGACCAGAUGUAGUUCCAAUGUUUGGUAUUACAUUUAUCUACUUUUUAUAAGCCAUGAGGCAGGACUGUUCUUGCCCCAUCACUUUUCAAAACUAAUAUGUGGUGGGUAUGAGACAGUUGUAAAUCAGUUAUUGUGGAGCACCACCCAUUGCUUAUACCAUGUUUUUACUGAUGAUGCUGUAAUCUUCGCUGAGUUACUGAAAGAUCCAGAGAUGGCUCUUGAGGUACUGCAGGAGGUGAAGCCCUUGGGACUUCAGGUCUCCUGUGCCAAGACCAAAGCACAGGUGUUCGAGGGCUUAUUGAAUGAAACAUUAUAGUCUGUUCAUGCAUGUGACAAGGAGAUCGAGAUCUUGGAAAAUUUUACAUAUACGUUGGUCUUCAGGAUUAACUUGUCCCACUUUGUUAUGGGCCCCCAAGCUCAAGUACUACAUGGUGUUGUUGAUAAAUGUGUUGGAGGACAAAGUUUCAGAUCUUUGUCACUUGUGCUCCCUGUCUUACUUUAUGGCUUUAAGAUAUGGACACUAAACAGUAUCCUGAAGAGGCAAAUUGAUUGCUCCAUAAGGCUGGAUUGAGGCUUAUUAUCUUUAUAGUCUGUGGAAAUCAACUUCAGCUAUAUGGACAUGUGGCUUGCUACAAAAAAGUUGACCCUGCUCACCAAGUUGUUGCUAUUAGAGACAAUCCAGAAUGGAAGAGGCCUCAUGGCUAGAGCAAGCCGAGAGAUUCUUUUGGGAAGUACAUGGUAUGGAAAAUGUUCCUGGAUGGAAGCAUGCUUGAGAACCCCCUGAAAAGGUGUCAUGGGGUGGGCGAGUUAAGGUAUCCGUUUCAAGGGUUUACCUAAAAAAAAAUGUUUUCUGUGACAAAAUUCCGUAGAAAUAUAGAAAGCACGGCCUUUUCAAUGGUAUUCUAUCAUAUAUGUACGUAGACAAAUUGGGUCGGAAAAAAUGUUUUAUUACCCGUAUUUACUGCGCCAGUGCGUCUCGGAGUGCUGAGCUCUCAUGCACGUAUGCGUGGUACUCUUAGCAGUAAAAUCACCAAAAAUUGUUUUUUCCCCGAUUUAAAAAAAAAUUUCCACACCACUCGCUCAUUCCUAGCUGGCAACUCUGGAUUGUGAGUCAGAGCCAUGGGGUGCUCUCUGCUUCCUCACACGUCUCAGCUAUCAACCCGCCUUUGUCACGCGUGGGUAUACAGCAUUUCCUUGCAGAAAUCUUGCAGUUUUUGUGAGACCUGCAUACACCUACAAAAUUGAAAAUUAUAUAAUAGUAAGAGAAAAGGGCCUAGAAGUGGUGACUGAAGCUGAUCUGUCACCAGAGAAGCAUAUAAGCAAUAUGUUUGUAGAUUCAUGCAGUAUGCCAAGGAAUAUAAAAAUGUCAUUUCACUACCUGGAUAAAGAUAUGAUGAAAAAAAUAACCACAAUGAUUAGACCAAAACUGGAAUAUCCGUAGCUGUAUAGUUGCCUCACAAAAAGAAACACUUAAAGCUGGAAACAAUAGAAAGAACUGGAACAUCUAAUCUAUUCAGAAAGAUAAAAAUAAAUACAGCUAAUGCCACUGGAGGAAAGAAGAGGGAAAGAUGACAAUAUUUAAACUUAUGAAUGACUUAGAGGAAGUGAAGUCAGGGAGUUAACGGGACAAGAAAAAAACAAGAAAGGGAACACGUGUUAGUGACACACAAAAUAUUAGUUUAUAUAAUAUAUAAAUACUUGGAAUAUAUUAGAAAUGGUGGAGGCAAAGUGGUGUGGCAAUUUAAAGAAAAACUGGACAAAUACAAAUUUGGGGAGACAGGACCACACAAGUUUGGCUGAGGCUCUGUAUCUGUAAACACACACACACACACACACAUUACAUGCAUACAUACAUAUAUACAUACAAUAAUUAAUCAUUCUAGCAGAUGCAUUUGAAGGAUGGGCAGUUGGUUUAAGGGAAUUAGUCUUACAAAUAUUGCAAAAAGUAGCUUGCAUGAAAACAUUUUAAAGUAAGGUACAUGCUGUGCAUGAGUAUGUGUUUGUUGAUAACCAACAUCUAAUGACCCAGAUAAACAGUACCUUCAACUCAGAGAUUAAAUUUAUAGGCUGAUGGAAUAUUAACCCUUUCACACACCAAAAAUUUAAUAAGUUUCUCUUUCCAAUGUGACAUCCAUCUGGGGCUCUGAGGCUCAGGGGCCUUGCAGAAUGGCCUGACCGUGCAACGAAUUUUUUUUCAUGUUAUCAAUUUCACCCAUGAGUAUUUUUCUUUCCUGGCAUUAUUAUAUAUCAUUGGUUUUGGAAGAGAUUAUUCUGCCUUAUGAAAGAAAAAAAAUAUCAAGAAAUGCAAAUAAAUAGUGAAGUUUAUCGACCGAAAAAAAAAUUAUUAAAAUAAGAACUGCUUACGUUCACCACCUCAUAGCUUGAAACUUCCUGAGUCGACUUUUUAUGAUUUAUAUGCUAAUAAAAGGGGAUUUUUAUGAGGAUUCCAACGCUAUCAUUGGAAUUUUCAUAUGACCAGUAGUUCUUGAGAAAAUGGAGGAAAACUAUUUUUUCUGUCUAUUCUGUUCUCUUCAGUAGAAGAAACAGCUCAAGGGCAGCAAACAAAACACAACGGGCAGGUCAAGGCGGUCAAAAUAGAAGUCAAUUUUGGCUGGAAUAGUUUUGAUAAUAACAAACAUGACUAUUAGCGCACCUAUUUGCUGUCUGGAAGAACUUCGCAAGAUGCAAUAAUAAUCAUAAUUACCACUAAGUCCUCUCUUCCUAACACAUUCAGCUGGAGCUUUUUUUCACUUUUUCCAUCAUCACCAUCACUUUCAUGAGAAUCAUCAUUAUGCUCUGUACAAAUGGGUCUCAAAAUCUCUUCACUUGAUAAUUUCUUAGCCAUAUUUUCUAAUAGUAACAGUUACUGGUCCCUGUAAAUAUAAAACCAAAUAUUGUAUCACGGCACGAUCACUUUACACCAGAAAUAAGAAUAAAUUUCACCAAUUUCGUCUGACAGUUGUAAUCUAGGCUUACCAGGCUCCAGACACAAUUUAAAGGGACGACAGUCCACACUCACAGACUGCCUGCUGAGAGGCAGUUAACCCACGGGCAAUUAUCAUUUCAAAUCCAACGGCAUGAAAGAGUUGACAAUUAGUUUAUUUCAUAGUUUUAGCUUGGAUCUUUGACAAAAUAUUUUGACACAAUUCUGAAAGAUACUUUAUUUUUGGCAAAUUUUUUAAAGUUUUUUUAUCCAUUUCGAGUCAAAAGCUCAGAUGUAGAUGAUUCAGUUUUGCCGCGAAUCGCAUCAUGGUGCGUGAAAGGGUUAAGCAGUAAAUAUUAAAAGAAACUCAUGCCUUCUUACCAGUAGUGGCAUUUUUGCAUGGUGUAUAUGAUAUGGCAAUGUAUGUAUACAAGUGUCACAUUUUUAAGGUGGUUAGUUCAGUGCAUUAGUUAUUGUUUGAUGCCUUCCAGUUUCAUUGGCUGCAGCCCCAUCUGUUAGCCUGGAAAAAGCCCAGGUUUGUCGAUUGCUGUAAGUGAAUCAUGAGACAUCAGAGACUGAUCAAGAUGGUACCAGUAGCAAAGCAAUCUUUUUUUAGAAUUGUUUUCAUCACUGUGACCUUAUUUGAUUUUGACUUUUUGUAUGGAGCAUAGCAUACCCAUGGGAUGCCCUUAAAUGCAUGAUGGUAGUGCUAGAAACAACCAGUUAGGUUGGGAUUUUUGAAGUGGGACAGGCUGGAAUUAGUGCAUGGAGGCAAAUUCCCCAUAUCAGUAGAUAUGGUAUGAGUAUAUUAUAGUAGUUAUUAGGCUUUCUCUGCCUAAAUGCCAUCUUCAUGCUUGAUCAUAUAUAUAUAUAUAUAUAUAUAUAUAUAUAUAUAUAUAUAUAUAUAUAUAUAUAUAUAUAUAUAUAUAUAUAUAUAUAUAUAUAUAUAUAUAUAUAUAUAUAUUUUGUGUGUGUGUGUGUGUGUGUGUGUGUGUGUGUGUGUGUGUGUGUGAUGAAAGAGUGUUUUGAAACCUUUUAAAAAAACAGUAUAAACUUGAGAGUUCUGAAAAAUAUUGCGUAGCAAGUACCUGCAUGUUUAGUUUCUCGAAAGUAAUCCCAACUUUUCUUAAUUUCCUGUCCCCUGUGUGCAAUGUGGCAUGCAGCUCAGAAUUUAACUCCUGGCAAGUGGACACCAUAAUCAUUGUAUAGGUAAAGUAACAAACCAGUUGCUUCCUUGCUUGUUAAUGUUAUAUUCCACCUCCUCUUUACCCAUCCCCUUUGGUAUGGCCAUUAGUGUCUAAAUGUGGGUGUGUCAUUAGUUUGGUGCAGCCACUAGUGUCUGCAGCCUGCGACCCCAAGUUAGAGUAAAUUGUAGGCCAUGUUGGCAUGUGUCAAUUUGCCACACCUUACACAUGUCUAAAAACUGGUUAAUUUUGUUUGUCCUCACACACUCAGUGUGUGUGAUGUUAAAGAUUGUUAAUAAUGCAAUGGAUGACGGACAGUGUGGUGUUUCAGGAUGGGAUAGAGAAAGUAAUGAAAGCAUGUAUGAGCAGUUUAGUAUGAGUGUGACAGCGAAAGGAGUGGAGUGUGGAGGGGUGGAGUGGGUGAAGCGUGGUGCGCUGAGAUUGUUUGGACACGUGACGAGAAUGGGGGAGAAUGAAUUCAUGAAGAGUGUAUGAGGAAAGGAUUGAGGGAGGAGGUGUCAGGAAGACCACCUGUGAAGUGAAUCAAUAGAGUGAGAGAGUAUUGGAGCGAGAGAGUUGGAAGUAGCAGGAUUGAAUGUACUGAGAGGGAGUGCCAGAACAGGGAAAGAUGGAGACACUUCUGCCGCGGCCACCCCCUGGAGGGUAGUUCCCGUGAGGGAGUAGGGUGUUGGAGAUAUAGAUAGAGAGAUAGGGUGGAUCCGGUCGUUCAAUUCUUACCCAUUCUCGGGGAGUGUCAGGACUGAAUGUCAUCCGUCACAGGCAGGUUUAUUUUGUAACCCAAACCGCCCAGUAACAAUGAUAAUAGUGUAAAUAAAAAAAAUUACUAGCAGCUGCAUGUACGAGAGGAGCAUGCUAAUAUACAUUACAUGCUGUUUUGCUAGUCGCAUAUUUGGUCCAUAUUUAGCUCUUUUGUAGCCACUCAUAGCUUCAAGUUACCCGAGGCAGAUGGGUGAAUGAUUUCUGUAGGAGUUAUGGCAAGAAAGCCAAUUUUACUACCUCUAAGUGAAGAAAUAGACGGAGCAGUUGUUCUGGUGGUGUGGAAGGGAUUCUGUGGAGCUUAUGUUGUUAUGAUUGCAGGGAUGGAGUAGGAGUGGUGGGGUUAAACUCAUUAUUUUCAGACUUCAAACUUUAGAUGAGUCAGCUGUUUACUCAGCACUUAUCAGAUUAUGCAACAGGAAACAGUAAAGUCUAGCUCAGACUCUCAAAAAUGCUGCUAGACCCAUGUGAUAUUCCAUUCUUUUAUUACAAAAAUGGUAAAAAUGUUGGUCCAUAUGUGCUCAUAGUUGUGUUAGAAUUGAAGAUACAGCACUUGCAAGAUGUCAGGACUGAAUCAGGAAAUUUCUCCAUAUUUUUUUAUUUCAUUUUAUCUCACCUGUGGAGGAGUUAUCCCCAAAAGAAACAAACUUUCACUCUACCUGUUGCUGCGACUGACUCAUUAACUAUUAGAAAAUUUAUUUGUAUCUUGUGUGUAUGCAUUCUUUGGUGUGGCUGUAAGAUGUUAAUUUGACUAACAAACAAGAAUUUCUCACAUACUGGCAUAAGCAAAGCUUGGCCAGUGUGGAGAUUGUAAUCAAACUGAUCACACAUUAAUGGAAGGUAAAUGCAGACAUUUGGCUUUUCUGUUUUCCUUACUUCACUACAAGUAUUUACAUUUGAUCAACCAAAACUACAUUGCAUCAAAUGUAUUACCUCCUGAUGUUGCUAAUGUUCAUGCUGUCACUCUACCAUGUCUUUGAAUGAGUAAUCCAACUCUUUUUGUUUUAUUCAGUGCUUUAUAUUGUAAACAGCACAUUAUUUAAUAGAUUGCAAGUAGCAGCAGCAAAGUAGAUUCCACUGAGCUUUAGAGUUUAGCCACUGCUGGUUUAAAGCGUGUUCAUGAAUGAUGGCUGUUGUUAUUUAAGUAUGUAGUCAUAGGACUCACUGAAUUACCAUCACUUAUCCACAGAAGUUCCUUCAGGUAUUCCUCACUGCCAUCAUUGAGUGAUCAUAUUCCACCUGUUUUUUUGUAAUUUUGUUACAGCCUUGAGUAUUAUUUUAAGAGAACGACUGUUUGUAAUUUUUUUACAUGGUUUCCAUCUUUCUUAGUUGGAUCUGUAGACUGUAUAACAGCAAUUUUAUUGAUUUUAUCUAUUGGCUGAUUUGGUUAUCAAUUGAAGUUCAAAUGACAUACAACUACAGGUAGAGCCAGCAGCAUUACAAAUCAGCUGUCAUGGUGACAUGACCAGGUGAUUACUGAAUAUAGAUUUACCACUAAUUAAUUAUACGACAUCAGACAAACAGCUACCCUGUGAAACUAGUGCCAAAUAAGUAAUAAUAUUUUCUAAUCAUGAAAAGCAGAGCGUAAAAGUUUGAGAGCAAUUCUAGCAUGAGUACUGAAAACUGGCUGAGUUGGUUUUUGACUGUAUAGUUUGAACUUGUGAGAGAAAGGACAGGAAUUGGAGCAAGAUGCAAGUCCGGUGCAGGUCCAAUUCCAAAAAUUGCAUCAUACGCCUUAAUCUUUUCACAUGAUUUCUUUUCCUGACAAUCUUCUUCCUUGUUUCCACUGUUAGAUAGUGUCUUCAUCAAUCCCUCUUGUCUGUAAAGGAGCUGCUUUUAGUUGAUAUUGGGAGUGUUGGUUUACAUGGUUUUAUUUUUAUUAAAUCAAAAGUAUCCAUAUGAAUAUUUUUUUCUGUAAUUCAUUGCAAUUUCAUUCAUUCUGUACUAGUACUAGUAAGUACUGUACGAGAAAUGUUGAGAUUUGAACAGAAAAAAAUGAACCUUUUAAACAGGUCCACUACAAGUAAUACAGGUUCAUUAAAAAAGGAAAAGUUAUGGUUGCCAGCAAUCAAAUUGUAGAACUUUUUAGUGUGUACACCAGCACAAUCUGAUCCUACCUGUCAUGGGGGGAGAGGAGGGGGAAGGCAUCCCGACUUGUGCAUCUCUCCCUGAACAUUCCUUCUCCAUUACUGAUGCUGUUUACAGAUCAUAAAGUGCCUUGGACUUAGUAUUCCUUGAUGUUAGUUUUGAUAGGAUAAGUAAUGUUGAAAGUUUUAAUAAAAUAUUUUAUGUAUUUGCUCUCAGAAUCUUUGUUGACCCCCAGGGCAUGUUACAUUAUGUACACCAUUGUACACUAAUGUACACCACAACACCCUAGAGCAUGUAUGUACACACAGACAAUCUAAGUCACAACUAUUCAGAACCUUGGCGGUCCCCAAAAUGAACAAGACAAAAAUCAUCAGGGACUUGAGCCUUUGGCAACAAUGUUUAUCCAGGGGCCAAAUUUCCCUAAACAUAGUCAGUCAAACCAUGACUCAAGGAGUACAACAAUAUGAACUUAUUUUUUUCUCUUCUGUUCACAACAAUAUAACUGAUGAGACAUGACAACAUAAUAAGGUUGUUAUGAUUGAGGAGUGAAUUAUGCUUCUAAUGUAAUUUUCUGAAGUAGUUGAUUGCAUUCAUAAGAUAAACUACACAAGAUCAUAUUGUAGCAUUUAUGUUCAUAGAAAAAAUGAUCAAAUCAUACAUGGUAUAUGUGAGGUCACAGUUAUAUGGUUAGCAUAAUUCUGUCAAAAAAUCAGUAUUGCAGGAAAAGUUUCAUGUAAGUGGUGUCAUCUGGAUUUUUGUCACUUGCUACAUAGUUCUACAAAUUAUACGAGUUAACCAUAAAGAAGUAACAAAAAUCCAGAUAUACAUAUUUUUUCAGAGCUCAUUCUUCCCUCACUUCAGCCUAAAUUGUAAUGGAAGUUUAUAAUCUGAUAAAGAAAAAUAAUGAAAAUUUAUAAAGUAUAUACACAACUAUAAAGGAAAUGCUCAGGGCUUCAAUGAUAUAAAUGCACACACCACUGACUUAUCUGUCAGCAGGGACACACAUUCAUGUAAUAUGCACUGGUUCAUGAAUAGGGUAGUAGGUAAGUGAAACAAAUUCAACAGAGAUAUACUUCAUGCAAACAGGACUCAGUUUAAAUACAGGUUGGAGCAAUCUAUGGAUGUGGGAAAGUGAUGAAUGACUAAUUCAUUUGAGAAUGAGUUACCAGUCUUACUUCUUGUAAUCCUUGUGUAAAAACUUCGUCUCAUGUUUAUUACAUCACUAUGGAGUUGUGUGGCGGUAUGUCAUUAUAUUUUGGAUGUUAAAAUCUGGAUAAAUUAUGGUUAUUUGGUUAGAAAAACGUGGAAUGGAUCCACCUCAUUUUUUUACUUGGAAUGUUAUACGCAACUUCACACCACACAGUUUUCAUACACCUAGCCCUUAUAUAUUGAGACCCUAGUGUAUUUCCUAACUAAAACAAAAUUCUAAAAGGCCAUCCUCUUUUAGAGUAUGUGCGAUAAUUCAUUUUCAUGCUGCAGCAGUGUUGAUAAAGCAUAAACACAUUUAAACAACAACUAAAUGCCUCUCAAGAAGAGGUGAUAGAGAGAGGCAUUAUGCCAACAAAGAAAUUUAUGAAGGAAUUCAUUAUGUCAUGACCUAUAGAGUCAAUGAGUCUUUAUAUAUACUAACAGCUAUUCUUGGCCCCUUUCAGUACCUGAUCCAGCGCCUGUGGCUCACGUAGGCUGCAUGCACUUCACUUACUGUAUUCUAAACUGCAAUCAUGGUGAUUAUAAUUUAGAACACAUUUGUAAUCAGUAAAUAAUAUAUGAAAAAAAUUUGCAGGAUCUGCCCCAAAAUACUAUAAAAGUAAAGUAUCAGAUAAAUGUUUGAAAUUAUCAUUAAAAGUUAGAUGAAAUAUGAUGAAAAAUACAUGCACAAAAAAGCUGUCGCUUUAUUACAUCUACAUGUGUGAUGGUUGCUUCUGUGAGCCAUUCUGAGGCAUGACAUAUACUAGACUACCUUUCAUAUGAGUGAUUCUAAAAAUGUUUCCUUGUAGGUGAAGCUUUUUCUUGCAAUAGUUUAAUAAUAUUAGUACUUUAAUCUAUUCAAUUAGUGAUGAAAAUUUAUGCCACUUAAGUUUCAAAGUACUUUGUAACAAAAUGAUUUACAUAGUGAAGUCAAAAGUUCAAUGACAAUGUUUGAACUGAAAACCAUGAGACAUUGCCUCACUACAAUACAAAAGUAUCGCAAGUGUGAGGCUAAUACUCCACACAGAUGUGGUAACCAGUGACUGUGGAACAAGUUUGUUCAUCAGCUGAUACAAUGGAAUAAUAGAUGAUAAGCUACCAUAAAUAAUUGGCACACUCAGUAAUAGCUAGCUUAUUAUUUUAUAUUUGGAUCAUGAGGCAUGCCUAAAAACUACUACUUGUCAACAACUCAGCUGGUUUAUCAAGAGAGGAAGCUAAAGCUGCCAUAAUGCACUGUAAAUGCAUAUAAGUGCAUUGUAAUGCUGGCAUGCUGGUCAUACCUCAUGACUGGGAACCAAGCUAAACAUUCUGGAGUAUGAUUGCCGAGAAAAGUUAUAUAAACUUUGCUGGUGAUGAGGUGUCAAAUAAGUUACAAUUCAUAAUGAAUCCUCAAAUGACUAGCAUUAUCUAUGGUUCCUCAUCUUGUAAGGCUGAUUUUUUUUAACAAUCAUGCUGUUAAGUGUAAAUGACAUUCUAACCACUACUAUCAUUGAACAAUAUUUUUUUAUUAUGCACAGAUAAGCUAAAGAAAAUAAUAAACGAGUAUGAGAUACAGGUAACUCUCGAUAUACGUGAGUAUUGUGUCCUUGAAGAGGUCGCGUAAAUCAAAAACAAUGUAAAUCAAACAAGAGGUAGGUUUCUAUUGAAAAAUAAAUAUUCACUUCAUUCAGGAGAGAGAGAGAGAGAGAGAGAGAGAAUAUCCAUAUCACCGAGAUAUCCACUCAGGCGCUCAGUCUCAACCUCACUCGUGUGAGGAAGAAAUGAGGGACACCAUGAGCGACUGGCUAGUAUUGGUACCGGUACCGAGCAGUCUGGUACCGCUACCGUACCAUAUAGCUGGUACCGUUAGUAUCGGUAUUGGUACCGGUACCUGCCCACCCCUAUUGUUGAGUAGCGUGGCAGCGUGGGUACUGUAUUGUUGUUCAAGUGGUGUACAGGAAGAACUGAGCUCAGCUGUGUGGCCACGGCACAGUGUGAGUCCAGUUGCAUGAGACAUCUGGUGGCCACUCCAGCAAAUAUUGUGUAUAAGUGAAAAAAACGUGUAAAUUAAACAUUUAUUUGGAUUUUGGACCCCGCGUUAUUUCAAAAACGCGUAAACCAAACUCGGGUAAAUUGAGAGUUACCUGUAUGUGAAUAAAAAAUGUAAGUGUCACUGUGUCAUAUGAGGUGACUAAAAGUACCUUGAGUUGAGGUUAGGAAAGGUCUCCCCAUUUAAACUAUUUUUGCUUGAUGUCAGAGUGGUCACAUGGCCUUACUGACUUUCCACCCUGCUUCUUUAAGAAACAGGACGACUCUUGAUGACAACAAUCUCAAAACUGGGUACUUUUUGGUCUUCAUAUUUCCUGUGUGUUACAGGGAGCAGUGAUAGAGGGCUGGAAAUCUCUCCACUGGAAAUUUACUUCCUAAAUGAGAAGAACAGGGGGCUAUCUUUGCUUCUGUUUUUCUGUAUUUAUUCUUAAAUUGCUUUCUUGGAUGCAAACUUGAGUCUGCAGGAAUGGCAUGUUAAAUAUAUAUAUAAAAAACAAUCGCUUUUGCUGAAAAACGAAGUAAAUUGUGCUAAUCAUACAUGGCUGAUUUGUACAAAUCUGAUGCCAUCACAGCUGCCAUAAGUUAUUCGUUGGUGAGUGUGCAUUGGCAUUUCUGAAUCAAGAUGACACCUUGAAAUAUAACCUGGUUGACAUUUGUUGUAUAAAUUUGGUAGCAAGAACUUUAAAUCAGUAGAUAAAAGAACUCAAGAAUAAUACAAGGAAUGAUCAGCAAGAAUAUGCAUGUUGGAAAACCUCAAGUGUGGGGAAUAUCAAAUUUGCUAACAUUUGAGUAGUGGAAUGUUGUUAAGGAAUGAAAAACACAAUAGAAAUAUUUCAAAGGGGAGGAACUGCAAAACCAAAUACAUACAGUAAAAGUAGAGCAGGAGACUUGAUAGUAUAUGUGAGUUACUGUAUGGGAGAGACAUGUGGAGGAAGAAAAAGUUAGGUACAUGUGAGAUUGGACUGAGUGUAAGGUAAAUGUAAUAUGGCUAGAAGAAUGAGGAGUUGGAAUGGCAACACAGAAAGGAAAUGCAUGUAGGAACAGUAUCAUGACUUAAUUAAAAAAGGCAGAGAUUUGGGAGAAGAAAAGAUCACUCAGAUUGUGCUGAAGCAUGAAAAUUGUCUCAUGAACUGUGACAUGAGGUGGUGGCUGAGUGGUCAGAGUGCAGGUGUGAUGCCAUGGAGGACCUGGGUUCAAAUCCCACCAGCUGCUUCCAAGCUAACAAUUUUCAGUCAUCGACAAGUGGCAUAAGACUACCCACAUGCUGUCCUGUGGCUGUAUAACUAACCCUCUCGAGUUUCGCGCUCGCUUCGUUCCGAAGGUGUAGCACUAAACUCAAGGAUUGUGAAACUUGAGGUAUUGAAAACACUGAAAAAGCGCUUAUUUGUUCUGACCCGUUUUUUUUUUUUUUUUUUUUUUUUUUUUUUUUUCAUGUGGCCUAUGGCGCCAGUAGACUAUUCAUCGGGGCCUGAUGGUCGGUCCCAAGCCCAUCAUGGCACAGGCAACUGUUUAUAGUGGCGCCAUUAUAAUUGGCCCCCCCCAGAGCUCACUUUUUUUCUCCUUUACUCCCUUGUUAUCUCAAAAUAUGUACCUUGAAAAAAGGAAGAAGACAGGAAGAGAAAACGGGUCGUUUUAAAGACACAGUUGAAGCCUUACGAUUGGCUGAGCUCUGAAAACACGCUUGUGAUUCGCUGGGAGUCCGAUGACAUCUUCGCCGGUGCUCACCCAAUCAGUGGCCUCACUGCUGUAAGGCGGUGUCACACUGGCCGUUUUCCUCUAACUGCUGUGGCGACUGGCAAAGCCCGUACGCCCAUCCAGGAGCGAGUUGUCAGUUGUCCGUAAGCUGGUGUCACACUAGGCCUUUUUCUUCCCACCGCGUUGGCGGCAGCUUGGGCAACCAGCAACUUUUCCGGGUGUGCGUCACACACCUAAGGGGAAAUUAGAAGGGUGUGGGGGGGAGGGGCAGAAGGGAGAGUCAGGUCAUGUUUUGACCAAAGCCCUGAUCUGACUCCUUUCUGCCCCAUCCUCCCUACAUCCUUCUCAUUUCACCUACUGUGUGUGUGUGACCCGUACAUGUCAAAGCAGCACGAAAGUCGGGGUGAUAAUGCGCGAAAGUCGGGAUGGUAAGAAUUUAGGACUAACCGUGAAACUCGGAUAGCGCAAAACUCGAGAGGGUACUGUAGUUUGAAAGUGAAGUUUAGCAGAGAUUUCUUUGAAGUUUUCCACAAACUUUUUUU